rnacentral:lncRNA from 1 species
GGGCGGCGCUUCGUUCCGGGGGUCGGGGCUCCCUCGGCGGCUCCGCGGGGGGGGUGUGCAACCUGGACACCAGGGCCUCGGCGCUUCGGGACGCAGCUGGGAAUCCCUGUGCCGAGGGCAGCAUACCCGCCGCGCGGGCGAGGGCAACAACCGGGAGCUGUGAGUUCGAGGCCAGCACCGGCUCCCUUCCCUCCAAAACCAACCUGGACCUCACGGCAGUUCUUUCCUUUUCCCCUCACCAGAGACCUUCUAGUUUCCAACAUCCACCCUCCUCCUGUACCACACUCCCCACAAACCUUGAGGGGCCGUCUUGGUCCAGUCAGCUCUUCAGAACCUCAGUGUUAGCGCGGAACCGAGCUUCGAUGUUCGGAGUCUGCGGAACCUUCAGGAGCAAAGCGACGGCGCGCACGUGGGGGAGGCGGAGCCAGAGGCGGCUCUGUUCGCGCAUGCGCGGUGGGCGGCGAGAGAGGCCCGCCAGAGGGCUGGGCAUCCACUAGGGCUCUGGAAAGGUUUCGCUUGUGAAAACGACAGACCGCUGCAAAUAAAAGGCGCCAACACCAAGGGCCACAGGAAAGUGGAAAAAAUCGUUUUGUGAACAACCCUAUAAAACUAUGACCAAAC